GUUGCAGAGAGAAUGGUGUUGUUGAUUGUUGCACAGAAAAUGAUAUUUUAAGACCCUAGGAGUGUUGCGUACUCUGAAGGGAUUAUUAACAAAGAUACGGUGACUCUGGGUGUAAAGCGCAAACUUCAGGCAGAGCUUGGAGCGGGCAUAAUUAGAACAGACGGUAAAUGUCGCAGCAACGGACAGUAACUCACCGGACGCAUCAACAAGAACUCAUUUGCUGCCAAACGUUCCAUUUGAAAGGACUACUAAUUUGCUGAAGUGGUUCAUGGACUGUUGGAGAUCACCAUAAUAAGAGGCCCCUGAAGGCAAUGAGAGCAGCCCAAGCAAUCAGGACCCUAUUCAGACAGCAUUUGUGGCUCUGGGCUGUCAUUAUCAGUCAAUUCCCCAUUAUAGACAUCAAACCAUUCAACAACGUCGAAAGUUGCCUAUUUCAAGAGGAAAUAUGCGGAGGAGGAGGAUUUACAUGGAGACCUACAUGGAUAUUUUCAAAAACACUUGAUGCGUCAGGAGGACCGCAGCUGCAUCCUCAAGCUCUCUUUAGAAAAGCUGAGGUUCCUGGAGGACCCUGAGGCCUACCUGCGACGAUCUGUGCUCAUCAACAACCUGCUGAGGAAGAUCCACCAUGAGAAGGAGGAGGAGGGGGAGGAAGAGGAGAGGCAGAGGGCCUUUGACAGAGGCCCAGGUUGCCAACGACUGCUCUAUCCAGACAGGAAGCGUGUGAAGGUAGUGGUGGCAGACUGCUGCUCUCAGUCCUUUGGGCUUGAAGAGAUACCCCACUAUCACCUAGUGCCCUACACCUCCCCUACCUGCCUCUAUGACCUGGGGACAUGUCCCAGCAUCUCCCCUGGCCACAGGCCUCCGGUUCUGCUUUACAAACUGGACGAUAACGGGUGACUGUGAUUUGCUGUAAAAGUCUGUGUAGAAAUCCAAAUGGACCACGCACAUCAAUGUAAUUGACAGGGAGCAGUUUGGUGACAGAACCCUCUUUACCCUCAGAGCUGCAUUCUGUAACCUGCAGCCUGACACUACAUACAUGCAAAAUGGGAGGCUCCUACUUCUCUGUGAUUUCUGACAGGGUCAACCAAUCAAGUCCAAAUCAGGGUCUGUAUUCAAAGGGCGUCAUUGUCACAGCGUCACUGCCUUUACGUUCUAAUGUGAGAGACAGAGAUUCCUUGCAGGAAUGUGUUCUGAUGGUUAUUGCUCAUGUAAACCUUGAGCAUAUUCAGGGAUACACACAACUCAUGCACCUUGCCUGUACCCAAGAAACAGACAAGGUUUGUAUUUAGAGGUUUGGAUGUCUGCUGUUAUGCUUGUGUGACCAUCAGACUACUCUGUUGUGUAUUUAGCAUUUUUCUUUCAUCAAACAUAUCUCUAACGUUAAAUAGUGGACUACUUGUAAAACAUGAUUGAAAUGCAUAUGAAAGAUUUUCAAAUUCAAAUACCACUCAUUGAGGUAUUUUGUUGAAGAAUUAAGCAUUCUACAUUUGAUAUAGGGAUUUUGGUGUAUGUCAACAUUCUCUGGACAAAUCAAUUGGCACAAAUGUCUGUGACACUGUAAUGCCUUUUUGUUGUUUUUCUGUUUGUAACUACAACACUUUGCUGCCCUCCUGUGGUCAAUUUAAAUGUGUGAGUUUGAGGGACUGGUGGUUUCAGACAGCAUUAAGACAAUAUUUAUAUUUUCUUGUCUGAUUAAAUCAGCUUUGUAGUGCAAGCAUCUGUUUUUAUGUUGAAUCUAUUAAGGCCAAGAAUUAUAAAACAGAACAUUAUGUUGUUUAAUAGUCUCAUCUUGACUGUGACAGUUUUAUUCUGACUAAAUAAUGCUUUUUCUCAAAGAGAAAACCCUUUUUAGUGCUUAUGUUAUUGUCACAACAGCACAUGGUUAUAUUUCAAUGUCUGAUUACAUCCAGGUCAAACAAUUCCCAGUUUGUUUAUAUUUCACUUGUCCUGUAUAUUUUCAAGUAUGUCGCAGGCAUUCAAUAUUAAGAUGUUACAUCAAAAAAGGAAAGGUAACCAUUUAUGAAUAUUUAAAUAACUUUUUUUAUGUUUGGGACAAUGUGAAUAUCAAUUGCUAAGUUUAAUUUUUCCUGUAUUUGGGAGUACAGAUGUUUUGGUUUGCUCAGUCUAAGGAAUAUUGUUUCACAAUAAAUGUUUCACAAAUAAUGACUUAAAUGAAAUCUGAAAUGCAAAAACGUGAUAGAAUAUUAGUACUGAAUAUAUAUUUGGAAGAAAAUUGACAUGUUUCUCAUUAAAGAUUAGCUACU